CCUUUAAGUUACAAAUGACCAAAUACAUAUUGUUUUAUGUUACAUUGUAUUCAUUUAGACUGCAAGACUUUAAAGAAAUUUCUGAUUUGGUAAGGUUCUGUAUAAAUUUUCCAGCAAACACUGCCCACUUUUUCUCAGCAGCAUAAUUAACAACAGACACAAUAUGUGCAGAACGUUGAGGAAUCUCAAAAGUUGGUCCGUGUAACUUUAAUUUCCUUUACAAGUGAGCUCAGAUGUAUUAUGUCACAAAUAAUGCUGAGAAUGACUUGGAAUAAGCAAAGUUCCCAAAAAGUAUUCUAUAUUUUAGAUCUAGAGCACCUUUCGCUCUCAGGAAAUAACAUCAGUGUCGUCCCCAAUGAGAUUUGAAACCUUAAAAAGAAAAUAGAGCACCUUUCGCUCUCAGGAAAUAACAUCAGUGUCGUCCCCAAUGAGAUUUGAAACCUUAAAAAGGUGUGGUUGUGGAUGGGAUUUAGUUGAUGGAAGCUUCUUUUGGAGGAAGGAAGUUAGCUGGAGCCACUCUAUCAAUCCCAGGAAGUUAAAGUGGGAACAUACCACCUCUACCUUUUGUUUGUUACUCUUUACAGUCUCUUCAGAAAAUGAACCAUCCUAAUAUAGUAAAGCUGAAGGAGGUUAUUAGAGAAAAUGACAUUCUAUAUUUUGUUUUUGAGUACAUGGAAUGUAAUUUGUACCACCUAAUGAAAGAUAAGGUCAAGCUUUUUCCAGAGUCAAAGGUAUUGAUCUCCUAAACUCUUGCUACAAUCCUCUUCCUAUGGUUCUAUUGUAGGCAUAUGGGCUAUGGGAGCUAUCACAGUUGAGCUAUUUACUCUUCGCCCUCUUUUUCCUGGGUCCAGUGAAACAGAUGAGAUAUACAAAAUCUGUAGUGUAAUUAGCAGUCUUGGUUUGAAGGCUUAAGACUUGUUGAUUAUAUGAAGUAUCAAUUCCUGCAGGUUGGGCUUAAGGACCUGUCCGUCAGGCUUAAGACUUGCUGAUUCUAUCAAGUAUCAAUUCCCGUGGGUUGGGCCUGAGAAGGACUUGUCCGUCUGAAAGAGAAAGAGGGAACCUUCACACGAUGGCCACUAAAAUAUCUACAAAAAAUGACAUAGUUGAUUAUGUUUAUCAUGUACUAGUUGUUAGACAUCUUGGCUCACUGCUUUAUGCAGUAUUUUGAAUGUGUUGUUCAGGAGCCUUAAUUAUUAUGGUGUAUUUGAAAGAGUUGGAAACUCUUAGGUAGCUUUGACAUUAUUUUAUUAUAUUUGCAUAUAUACUCUUUAGACAACUUUGACAUUUUAUAACAUAUAUAUUUGCAUUA